rnacentral:rRNA from 1 species
UACGUAGGGUCCGAGCGUUGUCCGGAGUUACUGGGCGUAAAGCGCACGUAGGCGGCUUUGUAAGUUAGAGGUGAAAGCCCGGGGCUCAACUCCGGAACUGCCUUUAAGACUGCAUCGCUUGAAUCCAGGAGAGGUGAGUGGAAUUCCGAGUGUAGAGGUGAAAUUCGUAGAUAUUCGGAAGAACACCAGUGGCGAAGGCGGCUCACUGGACUGGUAUUGACGCUGAGGUGCGAAAGCGUGGGGAGCAAACAGG